UGCUGAUUGGACCCUAAGCAAUUAUUGCAUCCUCUGGUUCCUAAUAGCUGGGCUGUUAAGAACAGAAGAGGCUCUAUUAGGUGACAGAGUCCCAACCGGGAGUGUCACAGGCGAUGCCAGCUAAUGCAGUCUCAAGUGUGCACCAGGAGUUCAACCCGCAUAUGCCUAAUUAAUCAGAGCGUGAGUCACCUGCAGCUCUGGGUUGGUGUUAAUGAGGCCGGGCUGGGGACCAGCACGCUGUCCUGGGCUGCACAUGUUGCUGAUGGGGAGGACAAGCAUCAGCUGCAGAGAGGAGGAUGCUCAUCUAUUUAUUAGCAGCAACUUCAUCACGCUGCCCUCUCUUCCCUGUUUCCUGGUGCAGAUCAACUACGAGACAAAAGCAAAACAAAGCACUGCCAGGAGCCUGGUUUUUCUGAGGAGCCCUGCGAUAAUGAAUGGGAAAAUGAAGCCCAGCUCUUGCGAAAAAUUUUGGGUGUUAAAUAAUCAGAACAGCAAAAUGUCGAGACUAUUAGGAAGAACACGCGUUUCUCGUUGCUCUCUCCCCACUGUGGGCCAGGAUGCUGCGCAAAAGCUUUGUAGAAGAAAAGUUUGGGGACUUCACUGCGUGACGCGUUUCCCCAUUCGGAAUGGACCAGAGGAUCCUUUUGCCUGGUGGCUGUAACGUCUUCUGUAUUAACUGGUGAAACAGUAAACCAGGAAAUAAACGUUAAUGAGAUAAUUUCAUUUCUCACACUGCUGAGGUCUGCCUCUCGUUGCCUUGGAGACAACACAGCUAUUGUCUGGCAGGAGACGGAAUGGGCCGUAUAGGAUUUGCCUGAAGAGCGCACUUGAGUUUCUGUUCUGCACCUGUCACGCAGCUCAUAUAGCCUCAGUUUUAGGAACAGAGCCGUUGUUCUAUGUCCUUCCUGCAUCACAGAGAUAUGUUUGUCAAUAAACACAUUUUAUUUUCUAUUUAGAUAGAUAGAUAGAUAUAUGCUUAUAUUUUCUCUUUAUGUUUGACUAAAAGCUGAGGUCAGAAAGCUGGGGCUUAUGGUACCCUCAUAGCAGAGGAGGUGGUUUAAGAUGGUGAAGCAUUUCAAACUGCACCAGUUUCAGAUGGGUGCUUAGGGCAGAGCUCACAUCAAAACAGAGCACUUAGAACAAGGGAGAGACCCUGAUCAGACAGGGUGGGAUCCUGCUGUCCCUCCUGGGACGCGUUCAGCAGCUGCAGUAAUUCGCAUUCGUGCCAGGGAAGUUCUGGUUAUUCUCUGUGUUGCUGUAUGACGGAUCACUCUAUACAAUUACAGACUUUGCCUUUUUACGCAUUCUGUUGGGCUCUUCUGCAGAAAGUGCCACUGGACAGCCCCAAGUAUUCAAGGACUAGAGGGUAUUAAUUCAUGUGUGCUUUCUAACCAGUAUUCACCAAAUUGGGCAGCAGCUUCCCAUCAUUACCUAAAAUUAAUGUAAUUUGUUCCUCAUUCCUAUUGCCAAGGAAUGAGCCCAUGUCCUGAUCAGCCCUUCCGAUUGCCAAUUGCUUAUUUGAUUCCCUCCCUCCCUUAUUCCUGAUAAAGUGAAACUGCUAAGAUCCAUCACCUUCCUCCUUGGCUGGUUUAAUGAGAUUAUUUUUGCCCUUGAAUCUUUGCCUUAGCUUCACCUUUUGCUCCCCAGUAUAUCUGCAAAGUGUUCCCAGGUCUUCUCUUGUGGAUAUUUUUGUACUCCCCUCCUGCAGAUGUUUCCAAUUCCCCUCCAUGCUCCAUCGUCCUCCCAGCAGCGUCUGUCUGCAUCUGGUGCUGCCUCCACAGCACUAGGUAAAAGAGUUUCCUGAUGGAUGCACACUAAUACCUUUACCUUUAGAACACAAUCUUUUUUGUAUUGUUAUUAACUACAGUGAUUGUUCAGGCCUGUGUUUGCCAUUGAACAUGUUGUACUUACUGUGCUUUGUCUGUGCAAUCAGCAGGAUAUGGAAGGGAUGGAUUCUUUGGCACCUUUGCUUAGUGAUUAGUAUUUGUAUAGCACUUGAAAAGCUUAAAAUGCUAUAAGAGGGAUAAGUAGUAUUAUUAAUAUUGACAUGUUCUACUAUAAAGAAUGGAGCUUAUGCAUAUUUCUGGUGAUAAUCCCCAGUCUCAUCUUUUCCAAACACUGUUGUUGGUGUGAUCUGCCUGGAGCUUCUCUUCCCCACGCCUGUCUGAGCACUUUUCAAACAGCUUUUCUUCUUCUUCUGAUUAAAAGCACCAGGAGAACAAAAAAACCACCCCUUCCUGUUAACAGAGAAUUUAGCCUUCAGGUUUUGGUGGCUGUGCCCAGAUGUGCUGGCCACAGUUUCCAAUAUUCAGGGACAUUGACCUAAUCAGUUUUCCACUAAUCUCCUGAUUAUCUGUUGCUGGCCUAAGAUCUACCAUUCAUUAAAACCCAUUCAGUUUUUGGCAGCAUUUGGGGUUUGAUCUUCCUGGAGGAGUGCUCUCCUGUGUCCAGGUAAUGUUUCAUCUGUGCUUUUUACAAAUUAACUUAUUUUUAUGUCACUCCCUGCAGCUUCUCCUUGGAAGAUAAGCUUUGUGACUGUGGAGAAAAUUAAUAGGUACAUAGAGAAUAUCUGAAGCCUUUGUUCUUUUAAUGCCUGACACAGAGUUAAUGCGAAGUUUUCUCUCUCGUUUUUCAAGCUGAGAAAGGUGGGUGAAUUUUGUGUGUUUACCUCUCAGCUGUGCGUUCCUAAAGCCAUGGGUGGCUGCCGGGCCUUGGUGCAGGGAGAGCUGCAGAGUCCUCAGAGGACCUUGUGUGCUUGGGAUUGACCAGGCUGACUUGGUCAGACCUUUCUGGCCAGGGCACUCUGUGUUUUGACCUCCUGUUUUUGCACCGGUGAAGCUCUUUCUGAUGGUUUCCCACACCCCAGAGCUCCAGCCCUGAGGGCAGCCUUCUUGCCACGCACCCCAACCUGCCUCAGGCUUGUAAGAGCCGUAUUUAACCACUCCAUGAGCCCUUCAGAGCUCUGGUUUUGUGGGUGCUCUGCCAUGGAAACCUUCAGGUGAGGGGAGAGGUUAUUUUAAGCACAUGCCAAGCCCCUUCUUUGUUACUGCUCUUAAUCUCAUAAUAAAGUGGUGAUACCAGUCUUACAGAUCUAAAUCCAGACCUUCUCUGGUAUUAGUUAAAACCGCUUUUGAAACAUUUGGUUUGGGUGACAGCAGUGAGGUUGUCAUCAGCACUUCUACCUCUUCCAGGGUGAAUAAUAUAUAUCGUAGCGUGGCUUCCUUGGGUACUUCUAUGCUUUAAUUUUGAGGAGGCUAAGGCUGGAUGUCCAGAAGAGUUUUGAUGGAGUCAGAGGGGCUGUACACUUGCUGUGUGGUGGUUGUUCUCUUUUGGCAGGACCCCUUUCAGCACAAAAAUAGACAUGUGCUCAGUAGCACAUUGGCAUCAUCAGACUUCAGGGACUGUGCUGUAAAACUUACAGGAGCCCCUGGUUCUGUUCAUUGCCAGCUGACCGACACUGGAUGUUUUUGCAAUACCUGCUCAGGUUUCCAGUGGUGGUAGCAAAAUUUUGGGGUAACUGAAACCCUUCUGGUGCUUUACCAAGAGAAGAAAGAUAAUAGUAUAUCUUUGAGAAAGGGAGGCACAAAAAGAACAGUCUGGGUAGCAUGGCACCUCUGUAGAGCUUAUAACCACGAAUUAAAGGAAGGGUUAAUUCAGAGACAUCUGUGCUCCUGAGGAGCUGUUGAAGGAGUUGUUUUUGCUGAGCUCUUAAGUGUGCUGUCUGGGGAUAAUGGGAGGAAAGGAGCUGAAGACAGAAAACAGUGUGAGCCAAGACUGAAUUGGCAGAGAAGGCGUAUGGAAGCGCUCUCCAAUGAUACUUUGCAAGUCCUUUUUAUUUUCCCAAUGUGACCAGGUUUUGAAGUUGUGAGUCAGAACUUGCAAGUGUACUUUGGUUUUGUCAGCUUUUAAAAACAAUAGCUGGGACUUCUAGGCUGUGGAGGUGUCUUUACCAUAAUUUUGACUGUUUUUCAGCUCAACGUGGUGAGAGAACCGAGGCAGUGCAGGGACCAGUCUCAAAGCAGAGCAGAAAUUAAAUGACUGUGGCUCCUUCCUCCAACCUGGAUCACCCUAUGAACCAGACCACCAAUUUUCAUAGGACAGAGAGUCCUGAGCACAUAUUCUGGUGUCUGGAUUUCUUGUCUUCCCCUGGAUAUGGCAAAGUACAGCCUGUUUUUGGGGUGGGAUGAAGGCUCUGAGGAGUGAGCAUCAUGUCAAGGGUGACCGAGGAAACCUGUGGUACAAGACGAGAAACCCCGUCCCAUCACAGCCAGAGGAGCCUCAAUCUCUAUCACUGUUUUCUGCUUUUCCUUCAGUGUACCUUUCUCUAUGCACUGUACGAUUAACAGCUUUAAAAUCAGAGUCAUAUUUCAUUUAACUCCUAAAUUGCUUCUGAAUAAAGCUAUCUGUCGUAAGACAUAAAGGAAGAUGACAUGUACAAGUCAAGGGGCUGCUGGACCUUUCUCUACACCAGACAGGCUCCUAAAGCCAUGAAAGCAUCAGCAACCACCAGCAAUGUGCACAGCAAGCCGUGAGCAGUGCACAGUCCCGAGUCCCUUCUGGGGCAAUAUCCCUUGUUUGUGGCGGGGUCUUGGCCUGGCUGCUGCAUGCAGUUUAAUUUGACAAUUAACAUGGCAUUUUGAAGAAAUUAGAAGAAGCAAUAUUACAGAAAAACAUCUUUUUUUGUACAAUUGCAAUGACGGUUGAGAUGGAAUCCCCUGUAGCUGGUAGCGUGAUGUUUGUUAAGUGUGCUGAUUAUUUUCUGAUCUCAAAUGUUAGUGCUUUUACUGACUGACUGUAUCGGUUUGCUCUCGGGGUUUCUCUACUUGACUUUCAACCAGUAUUCGUUACUGCCUCUCACCACUGCUGGUAUAUGUUCUUAUUUUCUAAUCUCUCUGAAGGUAUUGUGUGUUUUCUUGCCUACUGCUCUGGCCUAUCCUCUUACCUCCUGCCAUCGCUCAGGAGUCUGUGCUGGAUGUGGAAAUAGCUUCACUGCCACAUCCACUCACAGAAAAGUGAUUUGUGUGUGUGUCCUGCAGGUCAGAGAUAUUCUCCUCACAGCCCGCAGUGGGUAGCAUAAGCUUUAUAGUCAGACAAGAAUUUGGAGGCUGGCAUUAGUGUUUUUUGCAGCCCCAGCAGCAGGGCUGGCUGUACCCUGAGUGCUUCCCAUUGAUCUGUUCUCUGAGAUGAUGCUCAGCAAACUCAGCUCUUCCGCCUCAACUUGUUGGGUGUUCCAAAAUGAGAGAUGAGGCUCACAGGAGAACAAGUAGAGAUUUUAGUAAGACUAAAGCUUGAAGAACUUGAGGCUUUCACUGUAAACAAACAAUUACAAGUACAAUCAGUCCCAGAUAAUUAGGUUUUUUUAGUUGUUUUGGUAUGUCCUCUCCAAUUUAAGGCCUUGCUGAGCCUGCAGUGUGGGCUGGGGAGGGGUUGCAUGCUGCUUGCUCUUAAAGUAGUGCCUGGGAGUCAAGAUAUUUCUUUUCUUUGGUGCAACAGAGUUCCCCUUUCCUGCCUGUGUUGGCUUUUAAAUUGCUUCUGCCCUGCUUUGGCUGAGAUGGCUUAAUGAGUAUUCCUGAGCUCUUACUAGAAUAACAGUCAAUUUUGCGUCAUACAGGAGGGAAUUAAAAAAAAGGAGGAGUUUAAUUAUAAAUGCCUUCUGUGAUGCGUAUGCAAUGCAUUAAUUACCAGUGUUUUAUGGAGAGUGCGCAGGACACCUCUUGGUACAUUAUUAACAUAGGUAACAAGGUGCUUUGUCUGAAUAUGUCUGUAAAAGCCUGGUUAGCUUACUUUGAGCAGCUGGCUGAGGAAGAGCAUCCACUGGGCUGGGGAAGCAGAGAUAGGACAGUGAAAAGCAGGAAUAGGAUAUUGAUCCCCACCGAGCUCGGGAACAGGACUAUCUGAGCUGUGUACAUUACCAGGACUUCUUCUUGGAAGUGUGAUCCCACAUGAAGUUAUUUUUACAAUGGGAACAGUGUACAAAGGGUCAGAGGACACUAUAUCCACCCUGGCUAAGCCCGUCGUGAUCUAUUGAUAGUGGUCAUUGGACUCCUGAAAUCAUCAUCACAGGAAUCCCUCACCCCAGGCCAGCCUUAGCAGAUUUUACUUUCAAGGACAAGCAAAACUCAAGUGCCAGGUGAAACCUCUUGUCUUGCUAUAGCACUUACUUGUACCCUUGUUGAGUUACCCAAAUCCAGGAGACUGCUGUGACUUCCAGCUGCCCAGGAGGACCAUUCAUGUGAAGGGUUUGGACAGAAAGUCUCUGGCACAUCUGGGUGCUCUGGCUUAGCAAGGUCCUGCCCACAGAGUGAAACCUCUGUCACCAGGGAGGUGACAGACAGGAGAGUCCCAGGCUGUCCUUGUUGGGGACCCUGCAUGCGUGGGCAGUGAUGAAGAGUUAAAGUCCCAGGUCCUGUUGUGUGGAUUCUCCUCUGUGGGGUGGUCCAUGGCACAGGGACACAAUGAGUAGGGGGGGUGAACUCUUGUUUGGGAGUCCUUUUCCAGUUAGAAACCAGAACUAACAGGGGAGAUAAAGUUUUACCCAUGCCAUCUCUCAUCCUGGUGUUAGAGGAGGAAGGUAAAUAAGUGUGAGAGGAUUCCUUGAGCUUUCAUUUGAAGUGACUUUGGUUGUUCCAUUGAGCUGACAUCCCACACACUGAUGCAUUUCUGCACUUGCACGUCAUGUCGUGUCAUGGUAGUUAAUCAAAGCUAUCUCCAGUACUAUUGCUGUGCCCCUGAACAGGCUGAUAAAAUCUAGAAGCCAUAAGGCUGCUUAGUUUGCAAUGCAAAAUGUUCCUGAGCUCAGCUGUUAUGACUGCACCGUAGUCCCGCUUUAUUUUUGUGCUUUUGCUGCUCAGUGCAAUUCAUCUGCUAAUUGUACAAGUACCUCCCAAAUCAUAGUAAUUUAACACUAAUAAGCUUACAGAUUAGUAGGUUGACUGGAUUAUUGAUGUGGAGGGGUGAAGGAUGUUCUGGGGGUGAGAAUGAGCUGUGAGUUUGAAGGUCUGUGCUCCAUGAAGAGCUUGUGUUCACCCUGGGUUGUGUAGCUGGACCAACUCUGGCACCUCUGUGAACUCAAGUAUCUCAGCAUUGCAUGGGAACCUCAACACAGUGCUUCACACUUGCUUUGGGUUCACCAUGAAUAUUCAUGUCACUGCAUGUUUUGCGUUGAUGGUAAAUGAGGUCUCUGUAUCAGCUGUAGGUUGUGGGGGAAAGGGUAGACUUGGCUUUAUUCCGUUUGGAGAAAUUCUUGGCAUUUCUUGUAGCUCCCAAAUCUCUGUGUGUGGCCUAGGUCCUAGUUAGCUCUAAGUUGUGUUGUUGGGGCACUAGCCACACUGUCCCAAAAUUUUCUGAGACCAAACUAAAUAGCAACUUUCUCCCUUGGAUUUCAAUGAUGCUGCUACAGUCACACCUCCUAGCCUGUGCCCUUUCACGUUGCAAUUCCCAGCUGUGGGCAGUGUAAAGACCAGUGGAGUCUGGGGAGGGAAACACUGAGUACAUGCUUGAAAACACCAUUAUAUUUUGUAUUUUCUCCUUAUUGAAAAGGUUUUGGGGAUACUUUCAGAGCAACUCUGAAGGUCUCUUUUGUAGUAUGUAGCUGAGAACUUGUGCUCUGCAGAAGAGCUCAAGUUCGCUUGUAGCUGAAGACAAGAUUUUGUCUUUCAUGCAAGUGUUACAGGCCAGGCUGUGUAGCUGGUUUUAGUGCUCUGGGGCUUUUUUUCAAUGGGGGCUAAUAAAAGGUAACUCCAGAAGCAUCCUGGGAGAGGUGGCUGAGGUCUUUUGGAGCCACCAUAGUCCAGAUAAGACACUGUAGAGUCUAAAUGAGGGUGCCCCUGUAUGUGCCAGGCAGUUCCCAUAGAUGUUCCUUAGGCUUCCAGGGCAGCCCAUGGAGCUGGGAGCAUCCUUUGUCUACCAAACUUUGGCUACCAACCUUAUAUUUUCAAAAAGAUUUCAGGCACCCAUCUUGAGGACUGGACAGCUUCGCAAUCUGUCCUAGAAGUGUCAUGAUUUCUUCUGUACUUUCUUAUCUUGGUUAUAGAUUUGGGCAUAGAUCAAUGCAAUUAUUCGUACAGGGGAGAUAAAGCUGCUAUUGCAAUUUUCAUCAAAAAGCCGUGAGCAACUCCUGAGCUCUUCUGGUCAGUCAUAAACUUUCUAGCUGAAAUCCGUGUUUGGCCAUAUCAUUAAGGUCCCUUUUUGUGGGUUACAAACGCCAGCUCAGCUGGAGGCAAUUAUUAUCUGAUAUGUACCCUGAGUAGAACAUAAUUACACUUGUCACUAAGUGGCACUGUGUAAAUUACUCUUUAAUUGCUAUGCAUCAAAUCAGCAGCUAUCCAGUCAUUUUUCUGGGAAGAUAAAGAGUUCCAGUAUUAGCUUUGUCAGUCUGGCAUCUGCCUUCACCCAAUUUCUCUUUUGUUCUCUUUAGUGCUUAAGAUGUAAUUUUAUGUGAUAAAAUCUUUUUAAUGUGUUUGGCAUUUGUCCUGUAAACCCUCUGUUGGACUUAAAUAUGGUGAUAGAGUUUAAUGUUAAAAACACAGGCAGUAAUGUAGAAGAUAUGUCCUCCACGCACUGCUGUUGAGAUGAUUAUUGCAUUAUCAUCUGGGGCCAAAACCUCUUUUCUGGCUGGUAUGUUGAUAAAAUAGGGGCCAUCACAGGGGCUGAGGAAUGUGAUCCUUUAUCAUGGCUUGGUUGGGCUAUGCUAUAUAUAUAUUUUUUUUUGGCCUUAGUAUGGGGUAGAUAACUGCAUUUGAAUGCUAUUAGUGUGGAUGCAUUUUAGCCCUCUUAACCCUUGAUAAGUUAGGAGCAGAGGGGAGGGAAAAUCCGAUCGAUGCAGUCCAAAGCUGUUUAUCUUAUCUGGGAACAUCUGGAGGCCAGGACUUGGACCAAAUGGCUUCAUUUGGCCGCAUUCCCACGCACUGGCCGCGUUGGGGUGGAUGGACACGUAUCCUGCUGGUUCAUGCAGCCGAGGCCGGGGCAGGUCGGCUCCUGGUCCAUGUCCUCUCCUGCUCUUGGCUCGGGGUCCAGCCUUCCCCAAACUUGCUCUGCAGCAGCAGCUCUGAGCGUGUCCCACCCAAAACACUCCAGCGUGCUUCCCACCUCCGUGCGGACGGAUCGAGAGGCCAUUUCAAGAGGCUGAGUUGUAUGGCGUUGGGGUAAAAUCCAGAUGUGGAGUGGAAAUGUGAGGAGAGUGUAUAUUACAGAAGAAUUGCUGGAGGGCUUGUUGUGCCCAAAAUGUGGGCUCUUUCUACCCCUUUUUUUGCAGCACAAAGCAGACAGGCUUCCUCAGUUGCAUGGGUGGCUGCUGGAGAGAGGCGUUUGCUUUUUUUAAUGCUUCUGCCCCUCUUUCUAUUACCGACACCAGAUACCCUUUGGCAAAGAGGCUGCAAGGAGCAGCCAGGGCCAGCAGCCAGCCUCCCCUGGCUUUACAUUCCAGGGCUGUAAUUUCAAAAGCACUUUAUGCCAUGAAGCAUGGACAGACUGUUCAGAAUAACAGAAGGAAUGGUUCCAGUUAGAGAGAACCUCAGCAGUGUGCUUACGCGAAGCCUUUUCAGCCUCCUGCCUUGGGGACCAAGUCCUGCAGCUGGAGCAAACCUAUCCAGGGAAGGUGCUGCUGCCCUGCCUGGAGCUCAGACAUUAAAUUCAAAACGUUAUUGAUUCAAAGUGUGUGUAGCUGUAUGUUAUAAUCAACAUAUAAGUGCAGUUGAAAGCCAGAAUUUCAAAUUCCUUGCAGCCUGCCAGCUUCCCAUCACAGGGGUUUGAAUUGGGUCCGCUCUGGUGGUGCUUUCUCCAGGAAUUUGCCAUCAUACUGAGGAAACGCUGGAUCAUGAAGACCCAAAUGGCCUUUUUAGUUUGCCGUUUUUAAUUAUCUUGUUUCUUUUAUCUUGCCCCUUGUCUUUGGUACAAGGCUUUCUCAAGAUGGAUGUGCUGGGUUGAGGGCAGACAAUGAAUCUGUGGGUGCUGGGAAGCAGAAGCAUUAGCCCUGAGCUGAGCCUUAAGUCUGGCCUGAGACUGGCUUAGGUGUCACAGGAUGGUAUGAGAAAAAUGACCUGGGUUUCUCUUUGUCAUCUUUAUGAGCUAAUCUGUGCAACCUGAGGGGCUAGAAACUUAAUGGUAUACUAUUUUUCUUUUUUUUUUUUUAAAGAAAGUUGAGGUUUUCCAACAGUCCAGGGAUUUCAGAAACCAGAGUGUUUUAAAAAAAUCACUCUACAUCUGAGACUUGGUAAAAAAACCUGCAGGAGUUGGUGGCACAAUGUCCUGCUGUAAUCCUGAUAGGGCAAUGACAGAUCUGGUUUUAAAAGUCCUUGAUUUACAUCUCUGUGGAGUCAUUAUUUCUGCCCUGUGUAUACACUAAAUAACAUAGAUGGACUUUGACAUUUAUUUUCCAUGUAUUUGAUUCAUUGAGAUCUCAGUUGGGGUGCUAUUUAAAUGAUGAAUUUAAUGUUAUACAACACUGGGGAAAUUCAGGACUGUGGUUACAGUUUAUAGCCGUAGAUGUUUACUCUAGACACCCUACCCCUAACUGAGACCAGAACACCAUCUUUAAUACAUUCAAACCAUGAAAAUCAUUGCAGACUAACCGCCUAAAUGUGCACUGUUAACGAGAAGCCUUGGCAAAAGCAGUGUUUUCAAUAAUGAGCUGCUUCUAUCUGCCCUGUGGAGGGAAACCAAGAUGUGGCGUCUGGUUCCAGCUCCGGUGGCUUUGUCUGCACCAGGAGGAUUUGCAUGGUGAAGUUCCAAGGGAGGGGUUGCUUUAUUCCCACCUAACCAAACACUGAAGCUGGUCACUUUAUUUAUCUUGUGGGUAUGAUCAUACGGUCUCCAUCCAAAGACGACGUUACAUUUUUCUUCUGUUGACUCCUCUGUUCUGAGAGCUCCAGGAUAGCAGUGAACCUCCUGGAACUGUGGGAGACAUAAAUCUCGAUAAUUACAUAAAACAAUCUUCUCAGCGUACCCUUUGAAGGGUUUCUCGCUGUCGUCACUGGCAAGGACAGAUCUGUGAGCUCCCUCAGAGAUGUGCUUUUCAGAACCUGUCUCACUUUCCCUUCAGGACACUGCUGGGAACUUACUGAUGAGUUGACACUUAUUAAAGGUGGACUUCUGUAGCCUACAGCUGGCAAAAUCUGUCCUUAAGCUAUGCUUGGGAGCUUGGUAGGGCUUUUGGUGGCUGACUGCAGCUGCUAGAUUUUACUCAAGGUAAAUUUUGUUUCCCCAGAAGAAUCCUCAUGGUUUCCUUCCAUUUGGGCUUUCUAAAUUAGGCACGGAUGCAAGGAGUAUAAUUACUGUGGGAUGGCUGCGGCAGAGGAUAGGUGCCAUUUUUUUAGUAAAUAUUUGUCAAAUUAAAUGUUGCAUUUGCUUUUUUGUGGCCCUCUGUGGUCAAAUCCCCGAAUACUUGAGCUAAUGCGUUUGCUGGCAGGAAUGCCUUUGGGUAAAGCUGCUGUGAUUGUCUGCAGGAAGCAAAUGUGUCAAUCUGCAAGCGUGAAAAUUUUCAUCAGAAAUUCCAGGUCCGUGAGUGUUUUUCAUCCGGCGUGGGACCAGUAGCAAUCCCAUCUGACACUGGUGUCCAGUCCAAACUGAGCGACAAAAAUCAGAGUGCACUUUGAAGAAAUACCUGCUCGAAAUGAAUCCAGUUGAGAAAAUAACUGGGUCUUUUGUAAAUCAUGAAAGGAAGAGAAGGAAAAUACAUGGAAGAAAUUAUUGUCUUUGCCUCACUCUGAGAUGUGGCUAUGGUGACCUUGAGCUUGCUGAUUAUAGUUAUUUUAGGCUACUUUGAUGCCCACGUAUCUCUCCUGGAUGCAAAAGAGCUGUGUCACAGGAUGGACAAUUGGGUUCAGGAUCCAGUUAAUAGCAUCACGACGGAUGCUUUCCCACUCUGUCUUAUUAUGGCAAAUGAGCACUGUCCUCAUUGAACAAAUUCUUGGAACUUGUCACUUCUAAUUCCCCAUUAACACAUCAGUUGCCCAGAGCAUGAAGGUGACUGUUAUCUCCAUAGUGGUGCCAGCGAACUGUUCCCAUAUCUGUCCUUUUCUCUUCCCUGUACUCAUUAACUGAGGGGCAAAAAGUGUCGUGGGGCAAAUACAUUACGCUGGUAGUUUAAUGAGUUUGUUGGCUUGUGUUUGAAAGUGCAGAUGAAUCGAUUUAGAGAAGAUCAUGAGUAGGAAAUGAAUGCCUGGUGGCUUUAGUGCUUCAACAUAAGGUACAAUUUCUUUCUUCUUUUCAAGGAAGUUAAUCCCCCAGCCAGCCAGCUUAGUCUCUGGUGAGAAACACCGGUGAUGAUUUCUCUUUACAUUUUGAUCAUCUCAAAAGUUACUCAUUCCUGUGCAACUAUUUGCUCUGUUUCAACUGGGAGCAGCAAAGGAGAAGCUGAUCUUUAAUAAAUACUGGAUAAA